rnacentral:rRNA from 1 species
UGAGCCCAUCGCAUAACCUCCCGGGCUGCCAAGCCUGCGGCGGAAUGUUGCGUAAAGGGAAAGGUCGUUUAUAAGCCCUGCGUGCCGCACACCUAAAUCUGACUUGAAUGUUAACACAGAUGCACUCGCAAGGGUGUGUCUUCGUUCCAGAGAGGGUGCCAGACCCGUAGGGUGUGCGGUGUAAACACGCGUGGGUUCGGCUUCUAUUCCCUGAGAGUCGCGUUGCUUGAGCAUGCAGCGCUAAGCAGGUCGUAAACUCGACCUAAGGCUAAAUACAUUCACAGGACCGAAAGCGAACAAGUACCGUGAGGGAAAGUUGAAAAGCACUCUGAGAAGAGAGUGACAAGACCGUGAAACCGUUGAGAGUAUAAGCCGAUGGAGUCUCUGGCUCGCCGGGGCGGCGCAUGAGUGCGAUCGUGCAAUGUGUCCAUUUCGAAGUGAUGGGGUAARUGGCCCUGAUCGGAAAUCACGGUACUAACUUGCGGGUGUUGCCUUUCACGCACAUGUGUCUGGUGCUUGCACUUGUUCAUUGUUGUGUGCUUGGCUUUAUCCUUAGCAAGACCUCGCUUUGAAACACACGCCGUACGAGUGCCUGUACACGGCUUGUCACAACUCUUUGCCUGGUCCCUCAGUGUACCUCGAUCUACGGUCCCGCAAGGGAGCGUGGUCGCGAGCGGCUUCUGCGUUGUCGUCGGCUGCGCGGUUGAGCUAUUACUCGCAUUGUCUCGGACGAUCCAUGGCGAAGGUUGAUUCUGACCACUCUGAUUCGCGGACAAGAGUUUCAGAGGGUCGGGGGAUGCGGUGUUGGGGGCUCCGGUGCUACCUUCCAGGCGGAGCAGGUUCGUUUCAAUUGAGUGUAUGGCAAUGAUAAUGCCAGAGCCCAUCGGUCACGUCUCGAAACACGGGCCAAGGAGCAUAGCAUGUGCGCAAGUCUAAGGGUCUCAUUAAACCUGGAGGCAAAGUGAAAGCGAGUGGUGUGUCUGCUGGUGUUAAAGCCGGUGGGCAGCUCCGUGAUGUGUGUCAAUUGCAUGGCACAUGCCCGCUAAAUACCGAGCUGAUCCGUUCACACACAUAUUGUGUGUGGCGGCGCAAGCUCCGGGCUUUGGACAUUGCACACGGUGUGUAACCAGAGCACUGUCGAGCGUGCAUGCUAUAACCCGAAAGAUAGUGAACUAUGCCUGGCGA